UACGUAGGGUGCGAGCGUUAAUCGGAAUUACUGGGCGUAAAGCGUGCGCAGGCGGUUUUUUAAGUCAGGUGUGAAAGCCCUGGGCUUAACCUAGGAAUUGCGCUUGAGACUGGAUAGCUUGGAGUGCGGCAGAGGGAGGUGGAAUUCCACGUGUAGCAGUGAAAUGCGUAGAGAUGUGGAGGAACACCGAUGGCGAAGGCAGCCUCCUGGGCCAGCACUGACGCUCAUGCACGAAAGCGUGGGGAGCAAACAGG
rnacentral:rRNA from 1 species